rnacentral:tRNA from 1 species
GCCUGGCUGGCUCAGUCAGUUGAGCAUCUGACUAGGGCUCAGGUCGUAAUCUCACAGUUCAUGGGUUCAAGCCCCAUGUUGGCCU